UACGAAGGGGGCUAGCGUUGUUCGGAAUCACUGGGCGUAAAGCGCACGUAGGCGGAUUGUUAAGUCAGGGGUGAAAUCCCGGAGCUCAACUUCGGAAUUGCCUUUGAUACUGUCUGUCUUCGAGUUCGGGAGAGGUUGGCGGAAUUCCUAGUGUAGAGGUGAAAUUCGUAGAUAUUAGGAAGAACACCAGUGGCGAAGGCGGCCAACUGGCCCGAUACUGACGCUCAUGUGCGAAAGCGUGGGGAGCAAACAGG
rnacentral:rRNA from 1 species